GAUGAACGCUGGCGGCGUGCCUAAUACAUGCAAGUCGAGCGAAUGGAUUAAGAGAUUGCUCUUAUGAAGUUAGCGGCGGACGGGUGAGUAACACGUGGGUAACGUGCCCAUAAGACUGGGAUAACUCCGGGAAACCGGGGCUCAUACCGGAUAAUAUUUUGAACCGCAUGGUUCGAAACUGAAAGGCGGCUUCGGCUGUCACUUAUGGAUGGACCCGCGUCGCAUUAGCUAGUUGGUGAGGUAACGGCUCACCAAGGCAACGAUGCGUAGCCGACCUGAGAGGGUGAUCGGCCACACUGGGACUGAGAAACGGCCCAGACUCCUACGGGAGGCAGCAGUAGGGAAAUCUUCCGCAAUGGACGAAAGUCUGACGGGGCAACGCAGCGUGAGUGAUGAAGGCUUUCGGGUCGUAAAACUCUGUUGUUAGGGAAGAACAAGUGCUAGUUGAAUAAGCUGGCACCUUGACGGUACCUAUCCAGAAAGCCACGGCUAACUACGUGCCAGCCGCCGCCGUAA
rnacentral:rRNA from 1 species